AUACGUAGGUGGCAAACGUUGUCCGGAAUUACUGGGCGUAAAGGGCCCGUAGGUGGUCUGCUAAGUCGUUUGUGAAAUCUCCCGGCUCAACCGGGAGAGGUCGAACGAUACUGACAAACUUGAGGGUAUCAGAGGAAGACGGAAUUCCCGGUGUAGUGGUGAAAUGCGUAGAUAUCGGGAGGAACACCAGUGGCGAAAGCGGUCUUCUGGGAUACAUCUGACACUGAGGGGCGAAAGCGUGGGGAGCAAACCGGAUUAGAAACCCCGGUAGUCC
rnacentral:rRNA from 1 species